GGAGGACCACGGUCCUGAUGCGGAUGUGGCUGCGGCUCUCGUUGACGUCACAAAGAUUGGCGAAGCCGCUGUGCAGGCUGCCCAGCAUGAUGUUGAGGUUGCCGAUUGAGCUAUUGCCAUCCUAGACAAUCAUGGCGCCGACCUGGAUGAAGAUGUCGCGCACGGUGAUUCUCAGGGAAUUUCAAACUAUUCAAGAACUCUGAUGCGUACAUCUGAUCUCCAUCUUCUGUAUUGGACAUUGCUUUGCACACCGUAUCUGAGCUUCGGUCGAGACACAAUUUUGUCAAUGUCAGUUGAGUCUGGGAACACGACCAUUUGUUCAUCUGGAAGAUGGAACUGCAAUCUCUGUACAGAAGGUUGUCGAUGCUGAAGUUCAAAUCCAAAUAUGCGCCAAGAUGCUUCGCCUGCAGAUAGGUACCGUGCAUCAAGGUACAUUUGUAUCUCAUCAUAUUUAUUCCCAGUACUCAAAAUUACAGUUGCUCUAUCCUCCCCUUUAUGUAUGUACUUGAAUAAGUACUUGAUAGAUCUCGACUUAUUGCACCACUCUACAUUUAUGUGUGCCUGGUACUUGACUAUGAGGUCCCUAUUGUAUGGAACAACAUAGCUGCUAUCUAGUUCUACUCCAUUUUUUUGUACUAUCUUUCCAUCAUCCCUUCUUCUGUAUACAGGAAAUCCUUCUUCAUCGAUACUUGUUUCCUCACAGAACUUCUUUGGAAAAUGUUUUGAGCACUUUCCAUUGAUCAUGCAAGGUGAUUUGUGAUUUGCUUGUCCACAUGGUCCAUGCAUCAUGAAAUUUUCAACUGCCAUGUAACCUUCUGGGUCCUCAUCCUUGUCUGGAAUCUCAGCUGAUAUGAUUUUGUCAAUAUUUCUGGGGCUACCAUCCCUGUCUUUCGGAUCAAGAAAUAAUAGUAUAUGUGCAUGAGGUAGACCUCUUUUUUGGAACUCGAUGGUGUAGACAACUGCAACAAUGUGUGUUGUUAGUUUGACAUAUAAUUUUUUGAAUGGUUCAUAACAAAUAAUGAUACGAAAAAUUGAACUUCUAUACUUUCAGAAUCGACACGCUAACGUGUCAAGCUGGGGUAGGAAAUGGUUGAAAUCGGGGUGGACUUACUUGCUAUUGCUUUUCCAAACCGUUUCUUUUUGUAUAUGUCUUCUAUAAGUUCAUUCAACUUUAUCAUGAACACUCUAUUUACUAUAUCUGGACGAUCUUCUGGUUUUUGGCCUGGGAUGAAGUCCAGCAUGGUCUGUAUUUCAGGCCACUUUGGGUUGCAUGUGAAAGUGAUAAAUAGAUCUGGAUAUCCAGCCCAUCGACAUAUCGCCAUAGCAUCUUGGUAGUACUGCACUUUAUUUCUACGACUUCCAUUAUAUGAUGAAGGUAGUAUAAUUGUUUUACCUACUUGAUCAGAUCUCGUGUCACCAUUAUCAAUUGCAUCUUGCAGGCCGCUAUAUAGCUCCGUCCUAAGUGUGCCUUGAUGCGUCUUGUACCAAUUCAGUCUCCACUGCUCAAUGCAUGUUGCUGCGUCUACUAUGAACUGAAGGAACAACUUGCCACUCAUUUGCAGGACCACCGAUUGAUUUAGUCGCUGCUGGAUACGAUAUGCAUAAUACUCCAUCAUGGUUAAUAUAUUGAAGGAUGUGUGGAACAUCUUUUUAAGAAAAUGAUGGAAUUAUCUUUGUAAAGUUGUACCUUUGUUUUGUCAGGUGAUGCAUCUUUUUUGCCCAAGAUAGUACCCCUGCAUGUGUUAUGAACUAUUAGCUGCAGUAGUGAAAAUAUUAAGAUGGGAAAAAAUCGAUAGGCUCUAUUAGAACCUUUUCUUUUCCAAAUAUAAGAUGAAAAUAGAUUGCAUAUUAUACUAAGAAUCAUAUGUGCACACUUUAUUUGCAGUAGCCUCGGCCACCAUUAUGUACUUUACCUUUGGUUGGUUUUAUUUCCUUUUUGUUGCAGAGGCACAUUAUUCUUCGACAUGGAGGCCGAGGCUAUUGCUGCUGAGUUUAGAAGUUUUGAUCGAUCCCUUUGCAACAGCGUUUUGUAGCAAGCCAUCUGGUUCUACUAUGGAUGGCUAGACCUGAUGGUUGCACUUCUCUUCGUCAGCUUAUCUAUCCUACUUAAAGCACAAAGAUGCUUUGGCUUGACAUUUAGGUAUAUUGAUCGCUUGGAUUGGUCUUGGAAGCUCAUUACUUUCAUUGGAAGAUGACACAACCAUGUUUUCUGCCGGCUCAUUGAUUAACUGUUGAGCUUCUUUAUCAAAAAGAACGCAAGAUGCAGAUGCAGUUGGAUCACUUAUUUCAAGCUUCACCUUAUAUCUGCAAAUUAUUUGCUUCUUGCAGUUAUCUUUGCUACAUGAUAUGUAGUACCAGCUAUAUCUUGUAUUAACUUCAUCAAUUACUGCCUCCACGAUUUCACCAUUGAACUGAAACAUCAAUCAAAUUAGAUAGUUACAGAUAUUUGGAUGAGUAUGCUUCAUACUGUUACAUGAUAGCUUUUGUAUCCAAACCUGGAAAGGCGGCAAGUCGGUCUGUUGCUUGAGGCGUUGGUAAGUUGGCAGGCGGUGUCGCGGCCGGCACGUCGUGAUCCCUGGAGAAGAUGCAACAACCAAGGGUGGAAAGUUGGCAGGCAGUGUUGCGGCCGGCGCGUCGUGAUCGCCUGGAGAAGAUGGAGAAGAUGCAACGACCAAGGGAGAAAGGUUUUAGAGCUUUUGUUGUUUUGAUCGGCAAGAAAACUGGCAUUAUAUAGAGAUUAUAUCUGUAGGCAUGCAUGCAUUUUAAAAGUUCCCAUGGAGACACGAUUGGUGGAGGUUAAUUCCGCGAGUCCUUCAAACGAAGGUUUCCUGAUUUCCGAUCGUACAUGUAUUGGUUGGUUUGAUUCCUGAUCGUACCCUGUGAUUCGUUUUAAAUAUAAGAUAGCCAAUAUCCUU